AACGAACGCUGGCGGCAUGCCUAACACAUGCAAGUCGAACGGCACCUCCGUGUCUAGUUGCGCUCGGGUGCGUAACGCGUGGGAAGCUGCACUUAGGUUCCGAAUACUUCCCCUUCAGGGGUGCUAAUACCGGAUAAUGUCUUCGGAUCAAAGAUUUAUCGCCUUUGGGUGGGCCCGCGUUGGAUUAGCUUGUUGGUAGGGUAAAAGCCUACCAAGGCGACGAUCCAUAGCUGGUCUGAGAGGAUGAUCAGCCACACUGGGACUGAGACACGGCCCAGACUCCUACGCAAGGCAGCAGUGGGGAAUAUUGGACAAUGGGCGAAAGCCUGAUCCAGCAAUGCCGCGUGAGUGAUGAAGGCCUUAGGGUUGUAAAGCUCUUUUACCCGGGGUGAUAAUGACAGUACCGGGAGAAUAAGCACCGGCUAACUCCGUG
rnacentral:rRNA from 1 species